rnacentral:snRNA from 1 species
GUGCUCACUUCAGCAGCACAUACACUAAAAUUGGAAGGAUACAGAGAAAUUAGCAUGGCCUCUGCACAAGGAUGACAUGCAAAUUUAUAAAGUGUUCCAUGCUGUG